CGGCCCUGGAUUGGCUCUGCUGUCAGGCCGCUUGUGAGUAAAUGCCGCACCAAACCUGUAUCCUGUGACGGCCUCUGAGAGGAGGAGCCCGGAGAUGGGCACUGAGACAAGGCCCAGGCCCAUAUGGGGCGCAGCAGGCGCGAAACCUCUGCAAUAGUCGAAAGCUUGACAGGGUUACUCUGAGUGAUGUCCGCUAAGGGCAUCUUUUGUCACUUCUUAAAAUAGUGUAGAAUAAGGGGUGGGCAAGUCUGGUGUCAUCCGCCGCGGUAAUACCAGCACCCCGAGUGGUCGGGACGAUUAUUGGGCCUAAAGCAUCCGUAGCCGGUUCUGCAAGUCUUCCGUUAAAUCCACCUGCUCAACAGAUGGGCUGCGGAGGAUACUACAGGGCUAGGAGGCGGGAGAGGCAAGCGGUACUCAGUGGGUAGGGGUAAAAUCCUCUGAUCCACUGAAGACCACCAGUGGCGAAGGCGGCUUGCCAGAACGCGUUCGACGGUGAGGGAUGAAAGCUGGGGGAGCAAACCGGAUUAGAUACCCGGGUAGUCCCAGCUGUAAACGAUGCAGACUCGGUGAUGGGUUGGCUUCGAGCCAACCCAGUGCCGCAGGGAAGCCGUUAAGUCUGCCGCCUGGGGAGUACGGUCGCAAGACUGAUACUCA
rnacentral:rRNA from 1 species